rnacentral:lncRNA from 1 species
AUGGCUCUGAGGGGGUGGGGCUUCGGACCGCACCGGGAACCUCCCACCGGGACCGCCGGUAACCGGGACCCCCCGGCUGCUCGGAACUCCCGAGCACCGACACUUCCGGGCAGUGACACCCCGGACACCGAGAGGACCCAACACCGUCACUCCCCAGACCCCAGACACCGGGACCCCAGGGCACUGACACCCCCCGGGAUUCCCGGUCACUGGGACCCCUGGCACCAGAGCCCCGGACACGCGCUCUCACACACACUGACAGCCCUGGCAGCCCCCCGAGACCCCCGAUUCCGGCACCCCCGGGCACGUGACCCUCUGAGCACCAACACCCCCGGUCUACGGACACACCAGGCACUGACACCCCCAGGGAUCUGCACCGGGAUCCCCGGGCACCGACACCUCCGCGCACCGACGCCCGAGGAACCCCCGACACCGGGACUCCCAGGCACGAGGAUCCCCGCGACCCCCGAGCACCCCACCGGGACCCCCGAGCACCGCGCCGGGACCCCCGAGCACCCCACCGGGACCACCGAGCAUCCCACCGGGACCCCCGAGCACCGCGCCGGGACCCCCGAGCACCCCACCGGGACCACCGAGCAUCCCACCGGGACCCCCGAGCACCGCGCCGGGACCCCCGAGCACCCCACCGGGACCACCGAGCAUCCCACCGGGACCCCCGAGCACCGCGCCGGGACCCCCGAGCACCCCACCGGGACCACCGAGCAUCCCACCGGGACCCCCGAGCACCGCGCCGGGACCCCCGAGCACCCCACCGGGACCACCGAGCAUCCCACCGGGACCCCCGAGCACCGCGCCGGGACCCCCGAGCACCCCACCGGGACCACCGAGCAUCCCACCGGGACCCCCGAGCACCGCGCCGGGACCCCCGGUCCCGCAAACCCCGUGUGCCCCCGGCAGCGGCUCACGAAGGGACGGAGCUCAGGGCUGACCCCGAGGCCGGUGGGGACAGGGACCUCUUGGGGUCCUCCUGGCUGGUUCUGCGACGUCGAUGACCCCAGGGACCCCGACAUGGGUGGGGGGCGAAGGGGGUGUCCCGGGGGGCAUGGGUGA